UACGAAGGGUGCAAGCGUUGCUCGGAAUUACUGGGCGUAAAGCGUGCGUAGGUGGUUCGUUAAGUCUGAUGUGAAAGCCCUGGGCUCAACCUGGGAACUGCAUUGGAUACUGGCGAUCUGGAGUGCGGUAGAGGGUGGCGGAAUUCCCGGUGUAGCAGUGAAAUGCGUAGAUAUCGGGAGGAACAUCCGUGGCGAAGGCGGCCACCUGGACCAGCACUGACACUGAGGCACGAAAGCGUGGGGAGCAAACAGG
rnacentral:rRNA from 1 species